rnacentral:rRNA from 1 species
UACGGGGGGUGCGAGCGUUGUCCGGAAUCACUGGGCUUAAAGCGCGUGUAGGUGGGUCGUUAAGUGUCCGCGUGAAAUCCCACGGCUCAACCGUGGAACUGCCGGGCAUACUGGCGAUCUUGAGGCAUUCAGGGGCGAGCGGAACAAAUGGUGGAGCGGUGAAAUGCGUAGAUAUCAUUUGGAACGCCAAUGGUGAAAACAGCUCGCUGGGAAUGAUCUGACACUGAGACGCGAAAGCCAGGGGAGCGAACGGG